rfam:Ictidomys tridecemlineatus contig079038, whole genome shotgun sequence.
GGGGUUGUGGCUCAGUGGUAGAGCACUUGCCUAGCAUGUGUGAGGCCCUGGGUUCAAUUCUCAGCACCA